AUUGAACGCUGGCGGCAUGCCUUACACAUGCAAGUCGAACGGUAACGCGGGGCAACCUGGCGACGAGUGGCGAACGGGUGAGUAAUGUAUCGGAACGUGCCCAGUAGUGGGGGAUAGCCCGGCGAAAGCCGGAUUAAUACCGCAUACGACCUACGGGUGAAAGGGGGGGAGUCGCAAGACCUCUCGCUAUUGGAGCGGCCGAUAUCAGAUUAGCUAGUUGGUGGGGUAAGGGGCCCACCAAGGCAACGAUCUGUAGCUGGUCUGAGAGGACGACCAGCCACACUGGGACUGAGACACGGCCCAGACUCCUACGGGAGGCAGCAGUGGGGAAUUUUGGACAAUGGGCGCAAGCCUGAUCCAGCCAUGCCGCGUGCGGGAAGAAGGCCUUCGGUUGUAACCGACUUUGUUCAGGGAAGAAACGGUACUGAUCUAAUAAAUUAGGGCUAAUGACGGUACCUGAAGAAUAAGCACCGGCUAACUACGUGCCAGCAGCCGCGGUAAU
rnacentral:rRNA from 1 species